rnacentral:misc_RNA from 1 species
CUCUUUUCUCUCCACUUCGCCAUUCACGUGCAGGUUUGUUCGAGUGGCAAAUCUUCAGAACCAUCGACUUUGAGUGGCAAAUCAUCCAUAAAGCACGUCUUCAGAAUCAUCGACUUAUCAUCGACUUUGGGUGGCAAAUCGCCCCAAUUUUGUUUCGAUUUGUUUGAUUGCUGUAGAAUUAGAAGAACUAUGCGCCUGCAAAAAAUUCAGGGGAGGAUGAGGAGAUCAAAAUAAAUUUCAAAUUUGUUAUAGCUUUGGAGCAUCUUGGAGCAAAUGAGCAAUGGAGCUUUUGGAUCACUGCUCACAUGGAGGAUUGCUCACUUGUGAAAGUGCUAUAUUUCUCUGGUAGCAGAAAUGAGUGGCCGCUUUUCU